GCCUAGGAGCUCAGUUAGUACAGCAUGAGAUUCUUAAGCUCAGGGUUGUGGGUUCGAGUCUCACCUUGGGCA